CCUACGGGUGGCUGCAGUGGGGAAUUUUCGGCAAUGGGGGAAACCCUGACCGAGCGACGCCGCGUGAGGGAUGAAGGCCUUCGGGUUGUAAACCUCUGUCUUCGGGGACGAUGAUGACGGUACCCGAGGAGGAAGCCACGGCUAACUACGUGCCAGCAGCCGCGGUAAGACGUAGGUGGCGAGCGUUGUCCGGAAUUAUUGGGCGUAAAGGGCGUGUAGGCGGCCUGUCAAGUCAGACGUGAAAUCCCUGGGCUUAACCUUGGGACUGCGUUUGAUACUGAUGGGCUUGAGGACAGGAGAGGAAAGUGGAACUCCGUGUGUAGCGGUGAAAUGCUCAGAUAUACGGAAGAACACCAGUGGCGAAGGCGACUUUCUGGACUGUCCCUGACGCUGAGGCGCGAAAGCCAGGGGAGCGAACGGGAUUAGAUACCCCUGUAGUC
rnacentral:rRNA from 1 species